GUCCCUUCGGAGACAUUCGAUAAAAUUGAAACGAUACAUAGAAGAUUAGUAUGGCCUCUGUGUAAGGAUGACAUGCAUAAAUCGAUUUAGGAUGGUGUU